UUGGAAAUGGGGGUUUGUUGUCGUAAAACGGGAGAUAUUUUUUAGAAAAUCGGGAUUUCGGGGUAUUUUUGCAAUCCCGAUCGGGAUAUCGGGACUUGUCUUUUCAGUUGCUUCAAAUCGGGAGAAUCCCGCACAAAUCGGGAAAGUUGGCAUGGUCAUAAAGGUGGUCAGGAAAUAAAUUGCCAACAGACAGCAGCAUUCCUUGAUUUAGAUGCAUUUCUCUUCAUGUCCUCUCCUGAAAGUUUUUCCAUGAUGUCUCGGGGUUAGGAUUGGGAUGCAGGAUGUACAGUACAUAUAUAUGAUGUCUAUGGGUACAAUGCUGUAAUGGCCUGAAAAAUCUUUUUCGAAACCGAGAAAUGCUCAUCUUCCAUUGCCAUGAUUGUGUGAAAGGACGAGCAGAGGAAUGAUUAAAAAAUAUAUGGCAGGAUUGAGAAUCCAACCCAUGACCCGUAGUCUGGUACUUUACCCACUGACCAAUCCAUGCUGAUGGUCCAUCUGCUACAUUGAUGUCAUCUUAUAUAUUUAUUUAUUCAUUUAUAUCAUAUGGACAUUUGACAGUAAAAUUUAAAAAAAAGUUUGAUAAUCACCAAAAUAAAAUUUGUUACAAUACAUGUUUAAGAAAUUAAGUACAUGCAUUGUUAUGCAUACAA